CGCAAGAGAGGCAGUGGUUGCAGACGAAAAGCGCCAAGUCUCAGUUCCUUAUUUCAAACAAAUCUUCGAAUGAAACGAAACUCAGUUUCGAAAAUCGAAACAGUGCGAGUUGUGAUUUAUCGUGCGUGAAUCAAUUUACAAAGUUUUUGCAUAUUUACAUUUAUUAACUGUGCUUUAGUGUUCCAUACCGAUUGGAUUAAACUACUGGGAUAUACUUGGCCGAUUAAAUGGGGAAAUAAAGGUUAUAAAUUACCUUUAACUCCUUCACAAUGGUUUGGAAUUUCUAAGAAAUUGUACAUAUCGAUUUAUUGAAUAAUCCACACAUAUCUAUGUAUUAUGUACAGGUAU